CUCUUUUCUUUUGAUAAAAGGGUUUUUAAAACCAGUGUUAUUUUUUAAGUUUAAUAUUAAUUUAUGUAUUAAACUUUUUAUUAAUGAUAUUAAAGUGCUCUAUUAAGUUUAGAUCAUUUUGGGGGUUUAGCUCAGUUGGCUAGAGCAUCGGCUUUGCAAGCCGAGGGUCAAGGGUUCGAGUCCCUUAACCUCCAUUUGGCAUGUGCCCUGGAUUGUGAUUAAGCAUGUUUUCAAGAACUUUGUUAAAGUAAUUAUUUGAAGAUGAAAUAGAAUAAGUUAGAAUUUCUAGGUUAAAGUUGGAAUCUUUUAAUACUAAGGAGAAUGCCUAGGAGCAAAAGCAAACCCCUUAUAAAAACUUGCGUUGUGACGCUCAAUCAUAAGGAUUAAAUAAGAUUGCAUUUUUAAGCAGUUUAUUUUAUAAACACCCCACAUUCAUUACUAACUUUUAAUUGGAAAUUAAUGUGGGGCGUUUGGCGUGAUGUUUGGGGGGCAAGUCUUGUAGCUAGCCACAACUCUUGUUAUCGUUACCACUAUGUAAUGAUAGGGAUUUGUAUAAGAUUUUGGCUAUAAAGCGGAGGGUAAGGCUUGUGUUUAAGUUAUUGCUCUUAUGUCCUACGCACAUGUUUACAAUGUCCUGUACAAAUCGAAGAGAAACGGUGAUUUGAAGCAAAAGCUUAAAGCGGGUUUCAGCAUGGACUGCAUUUUGAAACUCGACUUCAUGAAGUUGUAAUCGCUAGUAAUCGUAUAUUGGGAUGAUACGAUGAGUACGUUCUCAGGCACUUGUACACCGCUUGCCCGUUACAUCGUCCGAGUAUGGGGAUGGUUCUCCGAAGUAUUAUCCUAACCCGUAAGGGAGAAGGUAUUUAAGGUCCGUUUGGGGAGAGAAAUGAGGUCGUAACAAGAAGCUCGUACUUUCCAGUAUGGCUUGGAUUAGCCUCUUUUAAAUAGAAAGAUAAAUUAAGGCUAAUUUUAUUGAUUAUUCUUUUUGCUUUUAUUUUUAUGAAAAAGUUUUUGAAGUUGAGGUAAAUUUUUAGUUUAAAAUUUAGAAAAAAUAAAUCUUUAACAAGUGUUUGGUAGUAUUCAGCUUAAUAUUUAAUUAAGAUUUGUUUAAUAGUAAGUACAAUUUUAGAUUUUAGGGUUUUUACAUUACUAACUAUAGCUUAAAGUAAUAUGCCGCAC
rnacentral:misc_RNA from 1 species